GCUGGCAGCCUCCAGCCUCCUCCAUCCCUGUGGCAGGGGUCAGGAUGCACCCAGAGCCCAUCACCCAGCACAGCAUUCUGUUCCCACCUCCAGACUCAGCUGCCCUCCAGGUGUUUGAGGAAGAGCCCAUGCAAUAGUAGCACUUGGUGCACAUACAACUUCUCACUGCACUUUGCAGAAGUCCCACUGGAGGAUGCAGAGCCCGUUCACCAGAUCUAAAGAAAACACUGGCUUCCCAGCUGUUGAGUCCCACAUGUGCCACAGUCUUAGCUACUAACCAGCAGUGCUCAAAUAAAGGCCUGUGGAUUUGUUUACCUUGCCAAGGCACUGUGAUGCAUCCAGUCACACGGAUGUAAAGAUGGAGGAAGGAAUCGAUACAGAGCUACUGAACCCCCUACUGUGCAGCUGGAAGAAACUGAUUUGAUGAUGAACCUCAUUGCAUCAUGCUGAGGGACACAAAGAUUACUGGAUGAUGUGAAAGAAAACCUGCAUGAUGACAGCAGGAGACUAGUAUUAUUCUGAGGAGUGUUAGGGGUGCUGUGACCCCCAGGACCCACCCCCCACACUGGCUGGCUUGCACUCAGCUGCUUGUUGCUGGAACUCCCAGCAUUGGUUUGCCAGAGGCAUCUGCUGGGGUGAUGCAUUUAGCACCAGGAACCUCCCUGUCUGCCUGGUACUGGGCCUGCACAUGGUGAAGCUCAAUCAUCUGAAUUUAAGACACUCUGUUAUACAUACCAUGAAAUUC